rnacentral:rRNA from 1 species
GCCAGCAGCUAGCUCUCUGCAACUCUCACAUGGUCGCCCACUGAAGCUAAGCAGGGCUGCGCCCGGUCAGUACCUGGAUGGGAGACCACUUGGGAAAGCUAGGUUGCUGCAGGAA